GCAUGAUCUUGCCUGGUGGUGAGUCAAGGCUUCAAACCUUGGGGG
rnacentral:tRNA from 1 species